rnacentral:rRNA from 1 species
AGAGUUUGAUCCUGGCUCAGGACGAACGCUGGCGGCGUGCCUAAUACAUGCAAGUCGAGCGGAGAUAGUGGAGCUUGCUCCAUUAUCUUAGCGGCGGACGGGUGAGUAACACGUGGGCAACCUGCCCUGCAGAUCGGGAUAACUCCGGGAAACCGGUGCUAAUACCGAAUAGUUUGCGGCCUCUCAUGAGGCUGCACGGAAAGACGGUUUCGGCUGUCACUGCAGGAUGGGCCCGCGGCGCAUUAGCUAGUUGGUGAGGUAACGGCUCACCAAGGCCACGAUGCGUAGCCGACCUGAGAGGGUGAUCGGCCACACUGGGACUGAGACACGGCCCAGACUCCUACGGGAGGCAGCAGUAGGGAAUCUUCCGCAAUGGACGAAAGUCUGACGGAGCAACGCCGCGUGAGUGAAGAAGGUUUUCGGAUCGUAAAACUCUGUUGUGAGGGAAGAACAAGUACCAACUAACUACUGGUACCUUGACGGUACCUCACCAGAAAGCCACGGCUAACUACGUGCCAGCAGCCGCGGUAAUACGUAGGUGGCAAGCGUUGUCCGGAAUUAUUGGGCGUAAAGCGCGCGCAGGCGGUCCUUUAAGUCUGAUGUGAAAGCCCACGGCUCAACCGUGGAGGGUCAUUGGAAACUGGGGGGACUUGAGUGCAGAAGAGGAAAGUGGAAUUCCACGUGUAGCGGUGAAAUGCGUAGAGAUGUGGAGGAACACCAGUGGCGAAGGCGACUUUCUGGCUCUGUAACUGACGCUGAGGCGCGAAAGCGUGGGGA